CCCCUCUCAGGGUCGCACCUGGAGGGUUUCCAGUCCUCUACCAGUCUCGGCUUCGGAAGGGAGAGUCAAGCAGAGGCCUGUCCAUUCCAUUCCUAGCUUGGGGAGUGGCUAGCGAGUGGAAGGUCAUCUGCUAAAAAU
rnacentral:snoRNA from 2 species